rnacentral:rRNA from 1 species
GACGAACGCUGGCGGCGUGCUUAACACAUGCAAGUCGAACGAUGAACCGAGAGCUUGCUCUUGGGGAUUAGUGGCGAACGGGUGAGUAACACGUGAGUAACCUGCCCUGGACUCUGGGAUAACCCCGAGAAAUCGGAGCUAAUACCGGAUAUGACCUCCUUGGGCAUCCUUGGAGGUGGAAAGUUUUUCGGUGAGGGAUGGGCCCGCGGCCUAUCAGCUUGUUGGUGAGGUAGUGGCUCACCAAGGCGACGACGGGUAGCCGGCCUGAGAGGGCGACCGGCCACACUGGGACUGAGACACGGCCCAGACUCCUACGGGAGGCAGCAGUGGGGAAUAUUGCGCAAUGGGCGAAAGCCUGACGCAGCAACGCCGCGUGCGGGAUGACGGCCUUCGGGUUGUAAACCGCUUUCAGCAGGGAAGAAGCCGCAAGGUGACGGUACCUGCAGAAGAAGCACCGGCUAACUACGUGCCAGCAGCCGCCGUAACAC